UGGGGUGUAGCCAAGCGGCAAGGCAGCGGAUUUUGGUUCCGCCAUUCGGAGGUUCGAAUCCUCCCACCCCAGCCA
rnacentral:tRNA from 2 species